GGCGUCGUAGCCAAGUGGUAAGGCAGCGGUCUGCAAAAUCGCCAUCACCAGUUCGAGUCUGGUCGACGCCU
rnacentral:tRNA from 1 species